UUUUCUUUCCAUCUAUUUCCCUUAACAAACCAUGCACAGGGAGAAAGAUUUGAAGUGAGUUCUCACCAUUUUUCAUCCUCCAAAUCUCAAAGAAGGCAAGGGUCUUGAUCUAGCUUUUUUUAAGUUCCAUGAAAAAAAUAUAUCUAUGUUCAUCAAUGAUGAAGGUGGAGGUUUUUGGGUGUUUGGGAAGUUAAAGACGGUGGUGAAUCUUCUAAAGCUAAGGGUAAAGGCAAAGUGGUAGAGAGCUAGGCAAGAAACUUUGUUGGUGUUCUUCCAUCAAGACUUUUGUUCGUGUCCGAGGAACAUCAUCGAUGAAAGACUCCUAGCAUCACGUAUUCAGAGUACAGUACCUUAUGCAUUAGUGGGCAUUGUAUUCAUAAGGCCUUGUAUUCUUUUUGUAGGUCUGUAACUCAUUUAUCAUUUUUGUUAUUUUGACUAUUUUGAUAUACGAUAAUAUUAGAGCUCCACAUAUUUUGUAUAACUACUUUUAUUACU